rnacentral:rRNA from 1 species
GACGAACGCUGGCGGCGUGCUUAACACAUGCAAGUCGAACGGAAAGGCCCUGCUUUUGUGUUGUGCUCGAGUGGCUAACGGGUGAGUAACACGUGAGUGACCUGCCCUUGACUUUGGGGUAACUUCAGGAAACUGGGGCUAAUACCGGAUAGUAGCUCCUGCUGCAUGGUGGGGGUUGGAAAGUUUCGGCGGUUGGUGAUGUACUCGCGGCUUAUCAGCGUGUUGGUGGGGUAGUGGCUUACCAAGGCUUUGACGGGUAGCCGGCAUGGGAGGGUGAACGGCGACAUUAGGACUGAGAUACGGACCAGACUACUACGGGAGGCAGCAGUGGGGAGUAUUGCACAAUGGGGGGAAGCCUGAGGCAGCAACGCCGCGUGCGGGAUGACGGCUUUCGGGGUGUAAACCGAGUUAGCCUGUGACGAAGAGUGAGUGACGGUAAUGGGUAAAGAAGCACCGGCUAACUACGUG